GCGUCAGGAUGCUGGGCAAGUAGAAUAGAGGCCAGAUGUGGCAAGGGGGCUGGGGGCAAGCUUGGUUCAGGAUGAGAAACGUGGAUUUCACGCAGUAGGCCGUUUCUUUUGGCAUGAGAAUGGCUGUGUUUUAGAAUGGUUAAUUUAGGAGGUGAUACACAGGCUGAAUGGAAUGGAGCCCAAGGGUCACAGAAAAUUACAUCCCAUUUGAUUUGUGCUUAGUGUUGUCUUAUGACUUCAUCUCUUCAACAAGCAAUGGUUGAGUGUGGUUGACAUACAAAGGAAAAAGACGUGCACCUGGCUUACUGCCUAGGAGAUAUGAUGAAAGGUACACAAUUGUGAUGCAAGAUAAAACAGUGUCCGAGUGAGACAGAUGCAGUGGUCAGGAGCUUCAAGGGGAGAGACUGAUAUUACAUCCUGAAAGGGCAAAGCAGGGAGGAAGCUGCAUUUGGAAAGGGCUACCUAACCUAGGGCCGACUUGCCUGCAGGGAACUCCAGGCAAGGGUUAGCAAACAGACUAGGGAGGAAGGAGGAAGAAGAUAGGUCAGGGCUGGGGAAAUGGCAGUGGCUGAGCAGUGAACGGGUCCAGCUAACUUGGCUGCAGCAGGUGCUGGUGGAAAAGGUCACCGAGGUUCAAGGCACUGAUGACCAAAUCAGGUUUGGGCCAGUUCCAUGGUUCUGUGCCAUCAGCCCAUUCACAGGAGGACAAGAAUCACAGCUGAGGAUAAAUGGAACAUGACCCAGCCCCCAAAGGGAAGGUUUUGGAAAGAACUGGUUGACAGUCUCGGACCAGUAGGCUGGUGUUCAGAGAAGGAGUCUAGUCACAAAGAGAAACUAAGGCAGAAGCAGAUAUACCGUGUCUGAGGCAGGCAGCACCAGCGUGUGAUUCCAGACCUCGUGGCUGCCAACAAGGCUUCCAAGCCUGGAAGAGCUCAGGAAGAAUGUAGGACCUUCCUGUAGGUGGUAGUCACUCCCUGCUGUUGGGAUAGCUAGACAAAGGCCAAGCCUGACCUGGGUCUUCAAAGCCGCUCAGGCUUUGAGCUGGCAAAAACCACACUUAUUCACUUAAGCACUGAGCACAGCUAAAUGCCAGGGCGCUGGUCUCUGGGGACGCUGUGGUGAGGAACACAAGUGCUUUCCUUGCUCCCAUGUACUCUGCAAUCUUGAGCAAAGUCAGACAGGAGAGCAUGGAUGGAUACCGGAAGUAAGUUUGACUUGUCAGGAGACAAAGAUCCUGAAGCCCUUUGAAGGCAAGGCUAUAGGGCCUGAAAUUGACGAGCCAGGGUUACCUCCUCCACAAACUGUCCCAGACCACCUUCUUCAGACAAGUCUGCUGGUGUUCUUACAAGAGGACUGGACAUAGAAUCAGGAGCCCUGAGAUCUAGCUUCCUCCUGCCACUGACUUAGGGGAAUUCACCCCAGAGCUGACUGACCCGCUGAGGAUUCUCGGUCUGUGCUUCUGAGCUUUGAUGGACGGCCUGAGAGCUGAGG
ensembl:lncRNA